rnacentral:lncRNA from 1 species
GUGAGAUCUGAGAGGAGAGAGAAGGCCGACGGGAAGAGAAGGAUCGUCCGACAGAAGGCGAAGAGAUCCGCCGGGAGAGAGAGAAGAGAAAGAGAAGCCGACGGGAAGAGAGGGGAGGACGCCGGCGUCGGCGAAGAAAAGGAAGAAAACUUUUUAGAGAGAAGGGAGAGGGUGCGGCUAGAGAGAGAAACAGAAAGGAGAAAAUGAAUAAAAAAGGCUAAAAAAGAGCUUUUAUACCCAGAGGAAAGAGGGCAAAACGGUGUCGUUUCAGAGGAAGGAGGGCAAAACGGCGUCGUUUCAGA